CCUACGGGAGGCAGCAGUGGGGGAUAUUGCACAAUGGGGGAAACCCUGAUGCAGCGACGCCGCGUGGGUGAAGAAGCGCCUCGGCGCGUAAAGUCCUGUCAGCAGGGAAGAAAAUGACGGUACCUGAAGAAGAAGCCCCGGCUAACUACGUCCCAGCAGCCGCGGUAAUACGUAGGGGGCAAGCGUUAUCCGGAUUUACUGGGUGUAAAGGGGGCGCAGACGGCGAUGCAAGCCAGGAGUGAAAGCCCGGGGCCCAACCCCGGGACUGCUCUUGAAACUGCGUGGCGAGAGUGCAGGAGGGGCAGGCGGAAUUCCUGGUGUAGCGGUGAAAUGCGUAGAUAUCAGGAGGAACACCAGUGGCGAAGGCGGCCUGCUGGACUGCAACUGACGUUGAGGCCCGAAAGCGUGGGGAGCAAACAGGAUUAGAUACCCCUGUAGUC
rnacentral:rRNA from 1 species